UGUAAACGAAUCAAAUAUUUUUGCUCGAUUCGAUAUUCGAUUCGAAAUUUGAAUAUUCGUAUUCGAAAUUAUUCGAUUUGUAUUCGAUUACAAAUAUUCGAUUCGAUUCGAUUAGCAAACGAAUCGAAUAUGAAAUUUUGAUAUUCGAUUCGAUAUUCGUAAAUAUUCGAUUCGAUAAAUAAAUAAAUAAAUUUAUAUAUAUAUAUAUAUAUAUAACUAAUUUUAAAAUAUUAAUUUUAUUUUGAAAGAUUUUAAAAUAUUAAAUUAAAUAUUAAAUAAAUUGAAAUUUUAAAGUCACGCCUAUUUCCUAAAUUUGGGACAGGCGCCUAUCCCCAUUCCCCACCAUUUGAAAUUGAAACACACAUACAUUCCCUUUACAUUGCCUUUUUCUCUCUCAUUUUGUAAUUAACCCUAAUUUCUCUACUCUUUCUGCCGCCCCCCACACACCAUGCCACCAUCGCCGCCCUUACGGCUCACACGCUGCCAGCUCUGGCCAUCCUCCUUGCCGCAGCCCCCCACACGCCAGUGACUUCGUUGGAGCCUCAGGAUAUAGAUGCCUGAAAUGUAGUACAGCUUGCACCUCAAGAUUGGUGGAAGAUUGAAUGUUUGAUAAUAAUUCUAUUGAAGUGUUAUUUUGACGAGUUUGAAACUUUUCUUAAUUUAUAUUUGAUGAAUUUCAAACUUUUGAAUGUUAUGGAUUGUAUUGAGAAUUUAAAUAGUAGAAUCACCAAUCAUUUGUUGUUA